rnacentral:rRNA from 1 species
AUUGAACGCUGGCGGCAUGCCUUACACAUGCAAGUCGAACGGCAGCACGGGAGCAAUCCUGGUGGCGAGUGGCGAACGGGUGAGUAAAGUAUCGGAACGUGCCCAGUCGUGGGGGAUAACGUAGCGAAAGUUACGCUAAUACCGCAUACGAUCUAUGGAUGAAAGCGGGGGAUCGCAAGACCUCGCGCGAUUGGAGCGGCCGAUAUCAGAUUAGGUAGUUGGUGGGGUAAAGGCUCACCAAGCCGACGAUCUGUAGCUGGUCUGAGAGGACGACCAGCCACACUGGGACUGAGACACGGCCCAGACUCCUACGGGAGGCAGCAGUGGGGAAUUUUGGACAAUGGGCGAAAGCCUGAUCCAGCCAUGCCGCGUGCAGGAUGUAGGCCUUCGGGUUGUAAACUGCUUUUGUACGGAACGAAAAGGUUCGGGCUAAUAAGCUGAGCUCAUGACGGUACCGUAAGAAUAAGCACCGGCUAACUACGUGCCAGCCGCCGCAGUAA